AACGAACGCUGGCGGUGCGCCUAACACAUGCAAGUCGAGCGCGAAAGUCCCUUCGGGGCGAGUAGAGCGGCGGACGGGUGAGUAAUACAUGGGUAAUCUACCCCCGAGCUUGGGAUAACCCCGCGAAAGCGGGGCUAAUACCUGAUAAGACCACAUAACACAAGUUGUGUGGUAAAAGGUGGCUUGAAUUUAUUCUAGCUAUCACUUGAGGAUGAGUCCAUGGCCUAUCAGCUUGUUGGUGAGGUAAGAGCUUACCAAGGCUAUGACGGGUAGCUGGUCUGAGAGGACGACCAGCCACACUGGGACUGAGACACGGCCCAGACUCCUACGGGAGGCAGCAGUGGGGAAUAUUGGGCAAUGGGCGAAAGCCUGACCCAGCGACACCGCGUGGGUGAUGAAAGCCUUCGGGUUGUAAAGCCCUUUCGUGCGGAAAGAACUGUUCCGCGGUUAAUACCCGCGGAAUUUGACGGUACCGCAGGAAGAAGCACCGGCUAACUCCGUG
rnacentral:rRNA from 1 species